rnacentral:lncRNA from 1 species
CAUCAGGAACAUCUUGUGAGCACAUUUGGCUACUCCUGCAGGCCAGGUGAAGAAGAGAAUUAACAUCCCAUUUUCAGCUACCGGUGCCAUGACGCUACUCCUGACAUUGCUGCUGGUGCUAUAAAAGCAGGCAAAGCUUCCAGCAACAGUCCCCGAAGGGCAUCAGGUCUCCUGAUCUUCAUCUCUUUCUUCAUUUUAAUGUGUGCUCUUGGAAGAGACAAGCUAAUUUCCUGAUGCAUCUGUUGUCUGGCUGGUUCCUAGCAUUUGUACAGAUUCAAAGAAGCUUGAGAAUGUAA